GGGCUUGUAGUUUCAAUGGUAAAACAUCGCUCUCCAAAAGCGAGGUUCCGCGUUCGAGUCGCGGCGAGCCCG
rnacentral:tRNA from 8 species